rnacentral:rRNA from 1 species
CCUGGUGACCAUGGCACCGUGGAAACACCUGAUCCCAUACCGAACUCAGAAGUUAAGCACGGUCGCGCCUAUGAUACUGCAUGGGAAACUUUGUGGGAAAGUUGGUCGUCGCCAGGC